GACGAACGCUGGCGGCGUGCUUAACACAUGCAAGUCGAACGAUGAAGCUGGAGCUUGCUCCAGUGGAUUAGUGGCGAACGGGUGAGUAACACGUGAGCAAUCUGCCCUUGACUCUGGGAUAACUGCGGGAAACUGUUGCUAAUACCGGAUAUGACACCUUGGGGCAUCCCGAGGUGUGGAAAGAAUUUCGGUCAAGGAUGAGCUCGCGGCCUAUCAGCUUGUUGGUGAGGUAACGGCUCACCAAGGCGACGACGGGUAGCCGGCCUGAGAGGGUGACCGGCCACACUGGAACUGAGACACGGGCCAGACUCCUACGGGAGGCAGCAGUGGGGAAUAUUGCACAAUGGGCGAAAGCCUGAUGCAGCAACGCCGCGUGAGGGAUGACGGCCUUCGGGUUGUAAACCUCUUUUAGCAGGGAAGAAGCGAAAGUGACGGUACCUGCAGAAAAAGCACCGGCUAACUACGUGCCAGCCGCCGCGGUAA
rnacentral:rRNA from 1 species